AUCACAUUGGAGUUUGGAGAGUCAACACAAUUUGGCACUCCAGUAGCAGGGAACCAUGGAGACCAGUGUCAUUGCCCAUAUGUUGGAAAGCUACUAAAUGAAACCCCUAUGUAACAGGUCGACAAAUCUACUGCGGCAAUUGAAGGAGUGCUCUUGUUUGACCUGGCCUCACCUGGUUCCUGAAUGACUGACUACAUUGGUAUUGUCCAGCCUCCUGCCCCA